GACGAACGCUGGCGGCGUGCCUAAUACAUGCAAGUAGAACGCUGAAGGAGGAGCUUGCUCUUCUGGAUGAGUUGCGAACGGGUGAGUAACGCGUAGGUAACCUGCCUGGUAGCGGGGGUUAACAAUUGAAAAGAUAGUCUAUAACCCCUUAAAAUAAGUUGUGCCAGACAAUUUGCUAAAAAGGGGCAAUGGAUCCAUAACAGAUGGAACUUGCGUUGUUUUAGCUAGUUGGGGGGGUAACGGCUCACCAAGGCGACGAUACAUAGCCGACCUGAGAGGGUGAUCGGCCACACUGGGACUGAGACACGGCCCAGACUCCUACGGGAGGCAGCAGUAGGGAAUCUUCGGCAAUGGACGGAAGUCUGACCGAGCAACGCCGCGUGAGUGAAGAAGGUUUUCGGAUCGUAAAGCUCUGUUGUAAGAGAAGAACGAGUGUGAGAGUGGAAAGUUCACACUGUGACGGUAUCUUACCAGAAAGGGACGGCUAACUACGUG
rnacentral:rRNA from 1 species